rnacentral:rRNA from 1 species
CAAGCUUCGGCUAUUAGCGAUUUAUUCGCAUAAAGUUCUAUAUAGAAUACAGAUAAUGACUAUUUUCUAUAUAAAAGUCUUGACUAAAACACGUGCCAGCAGUCGCGGCAACACGGGACAGACUAGUGUUAUUCAUCUUUAAUAGGUUUAAAGGGUACUUAGACGGCUAAUUUAGCCCCCAUUGAACUGGGAUGGUACAAAUUUGCUAGAGUUUUAUAUGAGAGGGAUUUAGUACUAACAGAGUAGAGAUGAAAUUCUUUGAUACUGUAGGGCACUGAUAACGGCGAAGGCAGACCUUUAUGUAAAAACUGACGUUGAGGGACGAAGGCUUGGGUAACAAACAGGAUUAGGUACCCUAAUAGUCCAGGCAGAAAAUGAUGAGUGCCAUAGAUUAGAAAAUAUUUGAUCUAUAAAUGAAAGUGAAAGCACUCCACCUUAAGAGUAAUGCGGCAACGCAGGAACUGAAAUCAUUAGACCGUUUCUGAUACCAGUAGUGAAGUAUGUUGUUCAAUUCGAUGAUCCACGAAAAAUCUUACCACAAUUUGAAUAUUAUAACAUUAAUAGGAAAAUCUUUUAUGAAAGUGUUAAUAAUACAGGUGUUGCAUGGCUGUCUUCAGUUGAUGUCGUGAGAUGCAGGUUAGCUCCAAUAAAUCAACGUGAACCCUUACUUUAUUUUAGAUGACAAUGUCAUCUACAUAGAGUAGUUCCCCGGCAUAUCGGAUAGAUAACAGGGACUAAGACAAGUCCUCAUGGCCCGGACAUUGUGGGCUAUAGACGUGCCACAUAUACC